rnacentral:rRNA from 1 species
GACGAACGCUGGCGGCGUGCUUAACACAUGCAAGUCGAACGGAAAGGCCUGCUUUCCCUUGUGGAUUGCGGGUGCUCGAGUGGCGAACGGGUGAGUAACACGUGAGUGAUCUGCCCCCAACUUGGGUAUAAGCCUGGGAAACUGGGUCUAAUUCCCGAUAGGACUGCAGGGUGGUGCCCGUGGUGGAAAACGAUUUUCUAGUGGUUGGGGAUGAGCUCGCGGCCUAUCAGCUUGUUGGUGGGGUAAUGGCCUACCAAGGCGGCGACGGGUAGCCGGCCUGGGGGGGUGGACGGCCACAUUGGGACUGAGAUACGGCCCAGACUCCUACGGGAGGCAGCAGUGGGGAAUAGUGCACAAUGGGCGGAAGCCUGAUGCAGCGACGCCGCGUGGGGGAUGACGGCCUUCGGGUUGUAAACUCCUUUCGACCGCGAGGAAGCCACCUGGUUGGAAGGGUGGUGACGGUAGUGGUAGAAGAAGCACCGGCUAACUACGUG